rnacentral:rRNA from 1 species
GGGGGGAUUAGNGGCGAACGGGUGAGUAACACGUGAGUAACCUGCCCUUAACUCUGGGAUAAGCCUGGGAAACUGGGUCUAAUACCGGAUAUGACUCCUCAUCGCAUGGUGGGGGGUGGAAAGCUUUAUUGUGGUUUUGGAUGGACUCGCGGCCUAUCAGCUUGUUGGUGAGGUAAUGGCUCACCAAGGCGACGACGGGUAGCCGGCCUGAGAGGGUGACCGGCCACACUGGGACUGAGACACGGCCCAGACUCCUACGGGAGGCAGCAGUGGGGAAUAUUGCACAAUGGGCGAAAGCCUGAUGCAGCGACGCCGCGUGAGGGAUGACGGCCUUCGGGUUGUAAACCUCUUUCAGUAGGGAAGAAGCGAAAGUGACGGUACCUGCAGAAGAAGCGCCGGCUAACUACGUGCCAGCAGCCGCGGUAAUACGUAGGGCGCAAGCGUUAUCCGGAAUUAUUGGGCGUAAAGAGCUCGUAGGCGGUUUGUCGCGUCUGCCGUGAAAGUCCGGGGCUCAACUCCGGAUCUGCGGUGGGUACGGGCAGACUAGAGUGAUGUAGGGGAGACUGGAAUUCCUGGUGUAGCGGUGAAAUGCGCAGAUAUCAGGAGGAACACCGAUGGCGAAGGCAGGUCUCUGGGCAUUAACUGACGCUGAGGAGCGAAAGCAUGGGGAGCGAACAGGAUUAGAUACCCUGGUAGUCCAUGCCGUAAACGUUGGGCACUAGGUGUGGGGGACAUUCCACGUUUUCCGCGCCGUAGCUAACGCAUUAAGUGCCCCGCCUGGGGAGUCCGGCCGCAAGGCUAAAACUCAAAGGAAUUGACGGGGCCCCGCACAGCGGCG